rnacentral:rRNA from 1 species
GACGAACGCUGGCGGCGUGCCUAACACAUGCAAGUCGAGCGGGGUUGAAGCGAGGGGUAACUCGAGUUUCUACCUAGCGGCGGACGGGUGAGUAACGCGUGGGCAACCUGCCUCAAGGACUGGGAUAACAGCUCGAAAGGGCUGCUAAUACCGGAUAAGCCUAUGGCCUCGCAUGGGGCCAUGAGCAAAGGGGAAACCCGCCUUGAGAUGGGCCCGCGUCCCAUCAGCUAGUUGGUGAGGUGAAGGCUCACCAAGGCGACGACGGGUAGCCGGCCUGAGAGGGUGACCGGCCACACUGGGACUGAGACACGGCCCAGACUCCUACGGGGGGCAGCAGUGGGGAAUCUUGCACAAUGGGCGAAAGCCUGAUGCAGCGACGCCGCGUGAGCGAAGAAGGCCUUGGGUGUAAAGUUCUUUUAUUAUGUGAGCAGUGCUUCUUAUAUUAACAGUAUGGGGAGAGAGAUAUUAGCAUAUGAAUAAGCAACGGCUAACUCCG